AUGGUCCAUCCGAGAGGAUGGUGAAAAGGGAAUGCCGUGUGGGGUCCGCCCCAAUUCGGCAGCUGCCCCCGCAACUGUAAGCGGAAAGCCGUUCGUCAAAUCGCCACUGGGAUCGCACCUGGGAAGGCUGACGAGCUGCGUUCGAUCCGCGAGCCAGGAGACCUGCCAUCGAAACA
rnacentral:ncRNA from 1 species